rnacentral:rRNA from 1 species
AAACCAACAGGGAUUGCCUCAGUAACGGCGAGUGAAGCGGCAAAAGCUCAAAUUUGAAACCCUCGGGAUUGUAAUUUGAAGAUUUGGCAUUGGAGAAAGCUAACCCAAGUUACUUGGAAUAGUACGUCAUAGAGGGUGACAACCCCGUCUGGCUAACCGUUCUCCAUGUAUUGCCUUAUCAAAGAGUCGAGUUGUUUGGGAAUGCAGCUCAAAGUGGGUGGUAAACUCCAUCUAAAGCUAAAUACUGGUGAGAGACCGAUAGCGAACAAGUACUGUGAAGGAAAGGUGAAAAGAACUUUGAAAAGAGAGUGAAAUAGUAUGUGAAAUUGUUGAUAGGGAAGGAAAUGAGUGGAGAGUGGUUUAGGUUUCAGCCUUCUUUCGAGGGGGUGCACUACCAACGCCGAGUCAUUGAUAGCGAGACAGGGGUUAUAAACGGACGGCACUUGUGCUAUUCUCCUAACCCCUCUACUGCCA